CCUACGGGGGGCAGCAGUGGGGGAUAUUGGACAAUGGGCGAAAGCCUGACCCAGCGACGCCGCGUGAGUGAAGAAGGCUCUCGGGUUGUAAACUUCUUUUAUCAGGGACGAAGCAAAUGACGGUACCUGAUGAAUAAGCCACGGCUAACUACGUGCCAGCAGCCGCGGUAAUACGUAGGUGGCAAGCGUUAUCCGGAUUUACUGGGUGUAAAGGGAGUGUAGGCGGGAAAGCAAGUCAGAUGUGAAAACCAUGGGCUCAACCUGUGGCCUGCAUUGGAAACUGUGUGUCUGGAGUACAGGAGAGGCAGGCGGAAUUCCUAGUGUAGCGGUGAAAUGCGUAGAUAUUAGGAGGAACACCAGUGGCGAAGGCGGUCUGCUGGACUGUAACUGACGUUGAGGCGCGAAAGCGUGGGGAGCAAACAGGAUUAGAUACCCGGGUAGUC
rnacentral:rRNA from 1 species